rnacentral:rRNA from 1 species
AACGAACGCUGGCGGCAGGCUUAACACAUGCAAGUCGAACGCCCCGCAAGGGGAGUGGCAGACGGGUGAGUAACACGUGGGGAUCUGCCCAAUGGUACGGAAUAAUUCCGGGAAACUGGGACUAAUACCGUAUGUGCCCGCAAGGGGAAAGAUUUAUCGCCAUUGGAUGAACCCGCGUCGGAUUAGCUAGUUGGUGUGGUAAAGGCGCACCAAGGCGACGAUCCGUAGCUGGUCUGAGAGGAUGAUCAGCCACACUGGGACUGAGACACGGCCCAGACUCCUACGGGAGGCAGCAGUGGGGAAUAUUGGACAAUGGGCGCAAGCCUGAUCCAGCCAUGCCGCGUGAGUGAUGAAGGCCUUAGGGUUGUAAAGCUCUUUCGCCGACGAAGAUAAUGACGGUAGUCGGAGAAGAAGCCCCGGCUAACUUCGUGCCAGCCGCCGCCGUAAUAC